CAUUUAAACAUAAACUAUAACCUUUUACACUGCUGAAGUAGAUAUACGUAUAUGGCUUAUAAGUCAUUUUAAUUUCAUUUAUUUUAUUAUUUAUUAUUAGGUAUUGUUAUUCAUAUUGUGUUAACUAGUUACAUGGUAUGCAAAUUUAAUUUCAUUGGAGUGAUAGUAAAAAACAAGAAAAGAAAUGAAACUAAAGCAAUCACUAUAAAUAACAAUAAUAGACAGUGACAUCAGUGUAGAAAGUUUGAAACGGCAAUAAAGUACAUGCGAGCAAAAUGUAUCUGCAGACAAGUAAUGGUUAUUACUACACUUACUACAAUUCAUAAGGGUAAAAUAAAAAUUAUUAUACAGGUUUGUGAUGAUUUUCACAAAGUGAAAAAGUUUUACAAUAAAUUAGAAUGAUCUAAUCAAUUUAUACUAAUAAUGUUUCGGACACUCACUAGUUAUUUAUUACUUGGUAAAUAGAAAAAGUAGACCAGCGAUUAUUCCACUAAACAAAAUUAUAAACACUUACUAUAACACUAUACUUCCAGAUAAUUUUUGAUAAAACUACUAUAAAUUAUUGUAUCGUCCACUUCCAACAUUUCCAUUAUUUGGGUAACGUGUACUAUUAAAAUAAAGGCCAUCAGACUGCUACUUGAACUUCGAUGACUAUUAUCGUCUAUCUCGAAAAAUAAUGUUCCAAUAACGAGAAAAUAAAAAUUGGUGACAAUCAGGUACUCACGUUAUUGAAAUUUGACAUUAUGAUUGACUGAUCACGUGAUUGUUUGGCAUAAACAAACUAUGUAUUUUGGGUUUGCCAGUCUGCGGUUUUUUGUAUUUAUUUUAUGCAAAUCUAAUGUGAAUUGUUUGAUAUUUAAACGUAGAAUAAUUUGUGUGAAUUAUAUUUUAUAAUUAUUUAUUAUAGAUUCAUCUGGCCAAUCUGAGUCACAGUUGCAAAAAAUCAAAGACACGAGUUUAAAAACGAGUAAGAAUUGCAACGCAUGCCGGACUGAAUCGUUUCAUGAGACGAAUUGAAAUGAGUGCCAAUUUUGCUAAUUUUGAGAAACAACGGGACAGCUGACGUAUCCCAUUAACGAAUGACGCAUGUAUUAUUCCGUUACGUUUUUUAUGGAAAAAUUGGGAACGGUUCUGUGUUUGUUAAACUCAUUUCGAAUCAAUAAACCUGCAUUUACAAUUU